GUCUGAUGUGAAAGCCCACGGCUCAACCGUGGAGGGUCAUUGGAAACUGGAAAACUUGAGUGCAGAAGAGGAAAGUGGAAUCCAUGUGUAGCGGUGAAAUGCGCAGAGAUAUGGAGGAACACCAGCGGCGAAGGCGACUUUCUGGUCUGUAACUGACGCUGAUGUGCGAAAGCGUGGGGAUCAAACAGGAUUAGAUACCCUGGUAGUCAAGGGCG
rnacentral:rRNA from 1 species